AGCUGCACAGUUUUUAUAGUUGAUCCACCAGAGCUUCUGGCCACUGCCGGAGCUGUUGCCGGGCCUGUUCGAAAUCGCAGCUGCUUCAUUAUAUUAUUUCGG